rnacentral:rRNA from 1 species
UACGUAGGUGGCAAGCGUUGUCCGGAUUUAUUGGGCGUAAAGAGCUCGUAGGCGGUCUGUUACGUCCGCUGUGAAAACCCAGGGCUUAACCCUGGGCUUGCAGUGGAUACGGGCAGACUAGAGGCAGGUAGGGGAGAAUGGAAUUCCCGGUGUAGCGGUGAAAUGCGCAGAUAUCGGGAGGAACACCGGUGGCGAAGGCGGGAUCCUGGGCCAGUACUGACGCUGAGGAGCGAAAGCGUGGGGAGCAAACAGG